CGGGGUGUAGCUCGAAGGCUCGAGCAUGUGGCUUUUACCCACGCGGCGAGGGUUCGAUUCCCUCCGCCCCGACCA
rnacentral:tRNA from 4 species